UACGGGAGGGGCGAGCGUUAUCCAACAUGACUGGGCGUAAAGGGUUCGUAGACUGUAAAAUAAGUUACUUGUUAAAUUUUAAAGCUCAACUUUAAAAUAACCUGUAAUACUGUUUUACUUGAGUUUUAUACAGAAAAGUAGAAUUUUAUACGAAAGGGUAAAAUCUGUAGAUAUAUAAAGGAAUACCAGCAGCGAAGGCGACUUUUUAGUAAAAACUGACGUUGAGGGACGAAAGUGUAGGUAGCAAACAGG
rnacentral:rRNA from 1 species